CUGUAGAGGCUGCUGCCACAGGCUGGCUAGGUUGCUCUGUCGCAGUAACUAUGUUUGACCAGCAGACGGCACAGGUGGCCAGUUGUGGUGGCGCAGGUGUGUUUCUAAACAGAGUUGAGCUGCGGAUGGCUAAGUUGUUCUCAAAACAAUCUGAAAAAUAUCUGAAUGACUUUUGGACUGAGUUAGAACAGAUGGAAGUGAUGAGGUAUUGUCAAAAGGUUGACAAAAAGUUUUUGCUUGUUUGAAUCACUCAGAUAAAAUGUUAUUUGCUAUUGUUUAUAGAGGGAAAGACUGAAGUGGAAUAUGUAUGCUGUAUGAAUUUCUCUACAUUUCCUUCUAAUGGAAUAAUGCUAAGAAGCUUCCUAUUUCCCAUACAAUUUCAUGUUAACAAAAAAUGCUUCUUGUUGCUAAUGAAGGAAAUUCCCAUUUUUUCCACCAUCAUCAAAUCCCGGACACUUCCUGAAGAGUAAGUUGAAGACUGAAACAACGAAGGAAAAAAUCCUAUGCUCAAGAGAAAUGACACCUCUACUCCCGUUGGAAACUUUCUUUAGCUUCAAGGCUUACUAACUUUACAGGACCUCUUUGCCCUGUGAGUGAACAAGGGAACUUUUGUGCUGUUGCUUCUUUGACCAACCUGAAAUCCUAAAACCUUUUCUUAUGUACCAGGAGUCCAAUAAAUGAAGAAUACCAGCUCUGAA